UGGGCGCGUCGCAUAGCUGGAUAUUGCACCGGCCUCCUAAGCCGGAUGUCGUGGGUUCGAAUCCUGCCGCGCCCGUC
rnacentral:tRNA from 1 species